rnacentral:rRNA from 1 species
UACGGGGGGGGCAAGCGUUGUUCGGAAUUACUGGGCGUAAAGGGCUCGUAGGCGGCCAACUAAGUCAGACGUGAAAUCCCUCGGCUUAACCGGGGAACUGCGUCUGAUACUGGAUGGCUUGAAUUCGGGAGAGGGAUGCAGAAUUCCAGGUGUAGCGGUGAAAUGCGUAGAUAUCUGGAGGAACACCGGUGGCGAAGGCGGCGUUCUGGACUGUUUCUGACACUGAAAAACGAAAGCCAGGGGAGCAAACGGG